rnacentral:rRNA from 1 species
UACGUAGGGACCGAGCGUUGUCCGGAAUCAUUGGGCGUAAAGAGCGUGUAGGCGGCCUGUUAAGUCUUGCGUGAAAUCUCGGGGCUCAACCCCGAGCGGUCGUGAGAAACUGGCAGGCUAGAGUGCGGGAGAGGAGAGUGGAAUUCCUGGUGUAGCGGUGAAAUGCGUUGAUAUCAGGAGGAACACCCAUGGCGAAGGCAGCUGACUGGGCAUUAUCUGACGCUGAGGCGCGAAAGCGUGGGUAGCAAACAGG